rnacentral:rRNA from 1 species
GAUGAACGCUAGCUACAGGCUUAACACAUGCAAGUCGAGGGCAGCGGGAUUGAAGCUUGCUUCAAUUGCCGGCGACCGGCGCACGGGUGAGUAACGCGUAUCCAACCUUCCGCUUACUCGGGGAUAGCCUUUCGAAAGAAAGAUUAAUACCCGAUGGUAUCUUAAGCACGCAUGAGAUUAAGAUUAAAGAUUUAUCGGUAAGAGAUGGCCUCGCGUCCGAUUAGCUGGUUGGUGAGGUAACGGCCCACCAAGGCGACGAUCGGUAGCCGGACUGAGAGGUUGAACGGCCACAUUGGGACUGAGACACGGCCCAG